GAUGAACGCUGGCGGCGUGCUUAACACAUGCAAGUCGAACGGUGAAGGCGGAGCUUGCUCUGCUGGAUCAGUGGCGAACGGGUGAGUAACACGUGAGCAAUCUGCCCCUGACUCUGGGAUAAGCGCCGGAAACGGCGUCUAAUACUGGAUACGAGCUGCGAAGGCAUCUUCAGCAGCUGGAAAGAAUUUCGGUCAGGGAUGAGCUCGCGGCCUAUCAGCUUGUUGGUGAGGUAAUGGCUCACCAAGGCGUCGACGGGUAGCCGGCCUGAGAGGGUGACCGGCCACACUGGGACUGAGACACGGCCCAGACUCCUACGGGAGGCAGCAGUGGGGAAUAUUGCACAAUGGGCGAAAGCCUGAUGCAGCAACGCCGCGUGAGGGACGACGGCCUUCGGGUUGUAAACCUCUUUUAGCAGGGAAGAAGCGAAAGUGACGGUACCUGCAGAAAAAGCGCCGGCUAACUACGUG
rnacentral:rRNA from 1 species